rnacentral:ncRNA from 1 species
AACCGCCGUAUACGGAACCGUACGUACGGUGGUGUGAGAGGCCGGGAGAUUGAUUAAAUCUCCCUCCUACUCGAU